GACCUCGGAUCAGGUAGGGAUACCCGCUGAACUUAAGCAUAUCAAUAAGGCCGGAGAAA
rnacentral:rRNA from 1 species